rnacentral:tRNA from 1 species
CAGAAAAUAGUUUAUAUGUAAAAUAUUAAUUUUGGAGAUUAAAAAAAUAAAAAAUUUUUUUUUCUGA